AACCCCUAUUAGUUCUAAGUAGGUAACUAGACUGCCUUUCAGACUUAGAGAUGGAUCUAGUUUCAACGACAUUUUCCAAAUUUUCAAGAGAGGACAACUUCCGACCUAUGUUUCCAUAUUCUACGUCUGUAGUUUCUGCCUGAACAGCUUCAUCUUGAUUGGAAAAGUGCGUUGUUGUGGCAAAUCAUUCCAAAACUAGCUCCUUGACUAUUUUGUUAAAAUUGGGCUAUGUCAUCCAAAAAUUUGAUUGGUUUUGAUCCCCAAUUUAGCUCAGCAGUGGCAAGGAGAUUUAAGUUAUGAUCUGAUGGUCCUCUUGAGAGGCCUGAGAGAGAUAAAAAGCGGAAAUUUCUGAAUCCAUUGAAAAGAAACAAAGGCUCUAUCGAUUGUGCUCAUUGAGACUCCAUUUCUCCAUGUGAAACGCAUUCCAGAAAGUUUAAGGUUUACCAUCUUCAAAUAUGUAAUGAAAGGUGGAAAUGAAUUUGUCAUUCCAAUUCUUGGGAAACGUUUGCUUUUUCUAUCUAAACUGUUGAAAACUUUAUUGAAAUCCCCCCUUAGCAUGAUUGAUUCAGAUAUGUUGCUCACAACUCUUCUAACUUCCUCCCACAAUUGAUCAGCGGCAUUGAAUGGAGGAUAAAUAAAGCAUGAAAAGAAUCAGCAUUCCAUGCCACUAUGAUACCAUCUGAUGACACCUUUGAUUUCACAUAAAUCUGUUCUAAAUUUCCCAUGCCCUAGAAUUUUUUAAUCAAUAGAAACGGGACAGGUUUAUACUUGCUUUCAAUCACUGCAACACAAUCAACUCUAUUUUUCUUUUAUAACGCUUGGUGCUGCGCGAAGUGAGAGGAAAGAUGAGAGCAAUGACUGUCCCAACUUUUUUAUUAUUGUUGCAGCAAAAAAGAGAGAAGAAGCGAGAAGAAGAUCGGAUUGCGAGUAUGCAAGAAGCGGCCGGAGUUGUUCUAACCACCGUUGGGGGGGAGUUUAUGCAGGAUUUUGGUUUGGUGGUUCUUGUAUAGUUGUGGUGGGUGUUCCCUAUUUUCAGGUUAUGUGGUUUCAUUGUGAGGGAGCUGCUUGCUUGUUGAUGAAUCUGGUUCGAUAAGGGCUCCGAUUGGCUUUUAGAAAGGGUAUUCUUUGUGGUAUGUGGCAUUUGGGGACUGCGCCACUACAUUUAGCGAGUAACGCUCACGUAUGCCAUUGAUAGGCUGAGUUCUGCCGCAUCCUCUUCUCAUUUGGCUGGUUAGAAGAUCGUCUUCAAUGACCUUGUUCUAGUUUGGUCGAGUCCAAUCUUCCCUUGCAUGUGCCUUUUCUCAUUCUUCUGGUAAUCGGCCUUUGGAUGUAUGUCUAUUACUUGUACUCCAGUCAUUUUCUGUCUUUGGCGCUCUUCGUGGUAAUGUGUUGGUGGAGAUGUCGGUGCGGUGAUGAAGAGGUCGAUCUGGUGUGAGUGGCGUUUUGGUCGAUUUGAAUUUUGUUGUGUCCUUUUCGAUUUUGUUGGUUUGAUUGCUUGUACUUAUUUUAAUUUUAUCGGUUUAUUAGUUUGAUUUAUUUUAGUUGGACCAGAGCCUUUGUUUUUACCCUCUUGUAUAUGACUUAUUGAGCUUGUUAACAACUAUUAAUAAGACAAGCUAGAAGGCAAUGAUAGAUGCACCUUCAAUGCUAUAAUUCCUACACAAAUAUUAUGCAACUUUAAGGUGAUUUCCAAUAGGCUAUGGACAGUAAUAUACUCUUGUUACUCCCAUAUGUUAACUUAUAUACUCUCUCCUUAUUUUUCUAUUAUUCCACUAUCAUUGCCUUCUAGCUUGUCUUACUAAUAGUUGUGAAUUGUUAUUUGAAAGGAUGGAAAUGCAUCAAUGUUAGAGAAAAGGAAGAAUCAAUGAAUUGGGGUUGCUUUUGUAAAUGUGGACGUGAUAAAUUAUAUUUAUUAUUUUAAUUAUGGUUAUUGAUGUGCCAUAAAAUCUAAUAAUUAAAAUUUUAAUUUUUUUUAUUUU